rnacentral:rRNA from 1 species
CUGUGUCCCGCGCCGCCGGUUCGCCGCCUGCCGGUGUCAAACUGGCGCGCAGCGGGACGUCCUGCCGGUGGCGGUCCGGGGCGAUGUCCGUCCGUCCGUAUGGGCGCCCGACUCAGGUCGCGGUCAGCCCAGAGGUCGGCGCGGCUCGCCUACGGCCGCCUGUCAAUCCCGCAGCGGUGCUCUUCACCGAGUGUCGAGGCGGGCCGGCACGUUUACUUUGAACAAAUUAGAGUGCUCAAAGCAGGCUCUCCUACGCCUGGAUACUGCGUGCAUGGAAUAAUGGAAUAGGACCUCGGUUCUAUUUUGUUGGUUUGCCGAGCCCGAGGUAAUGAUCAAUGGGGACGGGCGGGGGCAUUCGUAUUGCGACGUUAGAGGUGAAAUUCUUGGAUCGUCGCAAGACGGACCUAAGCGAAAGCAUUUGCCAAGUACGUUCCCGUCGAUCAAGAACGAAAGUUAGAGGUUCGAAGGCGAUCAGAUACCGCCCUAGUUCUAACCAUAAACCGUGCCUGCCAGCGAUCCGCCGGCGUUCCUCCGAUGACCCGGCGGGCAGCUUCCGGGAAACCAGAGCUUUUGGGUUCCGGGGGAAGUAUGGUUGCAAAGCUGAAACUUAAAGGAAUUGACGGAAGGGCACCACCAGGAGUGGAGCCUGCGGCUUAAUUUGACUCAACACGGGAAAACUCACCAGGCCCGGACACCGGGAGGAUUGACAGAUUGAGAGCUCUUUCUUGAUUCGGUGGGUGGUGGUGCAUGGCCGUUCUUAGUUGGUGGAGCGAUUUGUCUGGUUAAUUCCGAUAACGAACGAGACUCUAGCCUACUAAAUAGACGAUACCGGUAUCCACACUAGUGCUACCGGCGAUCAAAACUCUUCUUAGAGGUACAGGCGGCUCCUAGCCGCACGAGACUGAGCGAUAACAGGUCUGUGAUGCCCUUAGAUGUCCUGGGCCGCACGCGCGCUACACUGAAGGAAUCAGCGUGUCCUCCCUGUCCGAAAGGACCGGGUAACCCGCUGAACCUCCUUCGUGCUGGGGAUUGGGGCUUGCAAUUGUUCCCCAUGAACGAGGAAUUCCCAGUAAGCGCGAGUCAUAAGCUCGCGUUGAUUACGUCCCUGCCCUUUGUACACACCGCCCGUCGCUACUACCGAUUGAAUGAUUUAGCGAGGUCUUCGGACCGGCCCGCGGGGGUGGCCUUCGCGGCCGCUCGCGAUGCGGUCGGGAAGAUUACCGAACUUGAUCAUU